AAGAGGUUGUCCAGGCGCUGGCAGGUUUCCGAGCGAGUCCCUGGGAUCUGGGAGGAGGUUGUGCUGGGGGUUCAGGCCAGGCCGGGCUCUAGUCGCGGUGGAACCACAAAUGAACCGCUCUGGUUUCUCUUUUGCGCUAGGUGGAAACACGGCUGCUUUGCGGCUCAAAGCGACCAAAAUCCUACAAGCCAGCCUCUGGUAUUUUACUUAUGGACAUGCUUUCAAACAAGGUUUCUGACAUCUUGUGAUUCUAGAAGACAAAUUUCUCCGUGCACUUUCCAGCUGCAUCAAGACUCUGCUACCGAGUUGAAGCUUGCUCGGCUCGUGCAAGGCAGGCCCGAUGAGUCCAAGAGAGGAGGUGUAGCGGCAAGGAAUAAGAAUUUAUUUGGAGAGCUGUCUGACUGAGAAGAUGGCUGACUAAAGUCUCAAAGUACCUGAAGAUGGAUCUCUAUCCCCAGCUUCUCCUCAGACCUGACGUUUCUGAGUCUGUGACUUUGUUCAGUGAUGAGAGCUCCAAGCACUGGGUCAGACUGCCCCUGCCUGCCGGGUAACUUUAGAAGUCCCAGCUGGAGCUGGGCACACUGUUGUCCGGCUAAAC